rnacentral:rRNA from 1 species
GAUUAAGUUAUUAAGGGCGCACGGUGGAUGCCUUGGCACUAGAAGCCGAUGAAGGACGUUACUAACGACGAUAUGCUUUGGGGAGCUGUAAGUAAGCUUUGAUCCAGAGAUUUCCGAAUGGGGAAACCCAGCAUGAGUUAUGUCAUGUUAUCGAUAUGUGAAUACAUAGCAUAUCAGAAGGCACACCCGGAGAACUGAAACAUCUUAGUACCCGGAGGAAGAGAAAGAAAAUUCGAUUCCCUUAGUAGCGGCGAGCGAAACGGGAAGAGCCCAAACCAACAAGCUUGCUUGUUGGGGUUGUAGGACACUCUAUACGGAGUUACAAAGGACGACAUUAGACGAAUCAUCUGGAAAGAUGAAUCAAAGAAGGUAAUAAUCCUGUAGUCGAAAAUGUUGUCUCUCUUGAGUGGAUCCUGAGUACGACGGAGCACGUGAAAUUCCGUCGGAAUCUGGGAGGACCAUCUCCUAAGGCUAAAUACUCUCUAGUGACCGAUAGUGAACCAGUACCGUGAGGGAAAGGUGAAAAGCACCCCGGAAGGGGAGUGAAAUAGAACCUGAAACCGUGUGCUUACAAGUAGUCAGAGCCCGUUAAUGGGUGAUGGCGUGCCUUUUGUAGAAUGAACCGGCGAGUUACGAUUUGAUGCAAGGUUAAGCAGUAAAUGUGGAGCCGUAGCGAAAGCGAGUCUGAAUAGGGCGUUUAGUAUUUGGUCGUAGACCCGAAACCAGGUGAUCUACCCUUGGUCAGGUUGAAGUUCAGGUAACACUGAAUGGAGGACCGAACCGACUUACGUUGAAAAGUGAGCGGAUGAACUGAGGGUAGCGGAGAAAUUCCAAUCGAACCUGGAGAUAGCUGGUUCUCUCCGAAAUAGCUUUAGGGCUAGCCUCAAGUGAUGAUUAUUGGAGGUAGAGCACUGUUUGGACGAGGGGCCCCUCUCGGGUUACCGAAUUCAGACAAACUCCGAAUGCCAAUUAAUUUAACUUGGGAGUCAGAACAUGGGUGAUAAGGUCCGUGUUCGAAAGGGAAACAGCCCAGACCACCAGCUAAGGUCCCAAAAUAUAUGUUAAGUGGAAAAGGAUGUGGCGUUGCCCAGACAACUAGGAUGUUGGCUUAGAAGCAGCCAUCAUUUAAAGAGUGCGUAAUAGCUCACUAGUCGAGUGACACUGCGCCGAA